rnacentral:rRNA from 1 species
GUGAACGCUGGCGGCAGGCCUAACACAUGCAAGUCGAGCGGCAGCGCGGGGGCAACCCUGGCGGCGAGCGGCGGACGGGUGAGGAAUUCGUCGGAAUCCGCCUUUUUGUGGGGGAUAACGUAGGGAAACUUACGCUAAUACCGCAUACGACCUACGGGUGAAAGUGGGGGACCUUCGGGCCUCACGCAGAAAGAUGAGCCGACGACCGAUUAGCUAGUUGGUAGGGUAAAGGCCUACCAAGGCGACGAUCGGUAGCUG